AUGUGAUCUCAACAUUAUAUGCACCAUUUCCACAAAAUUACUGAACCUUAACUUGGAUACUUUGAAACUUGUUUCUCCAUUCAUCAAACCCUGGAACAAAAAUCACCUAAAAGGUCCCAACAUCUGAAAAGUACUACCUGAUUUCCAUUUGUUGUGCAUCUAAGGAUUGAAACUAAAUAAGUAUGUUGACCACUGCAGCUCUAAUUCUCAUUGUCACCAGUAAAUUUGCCUUAGGACAGGCUGUUAUAUUUCAAGCACCAAUAUAUCCAUUAAAUAUGUCAGAGAAUUCAGUUGAUGACCGGUAUUAUGGUUGUACAGAGAAGAUGGCAAAACUGGUGGAGACAAAAUAUCUAUCAGAAGAAAUCGCUGCUAACAUAUCAGGCUUUGGAACUGCUUGGAUAAACAGUAAAUGAGAAAUCCCUGAAGCAGAAGAAAACUUAAAUAGAAACCAUUUAAUUGCCAUUUCCGUGUACACUGGUCCUACAGUAUAUACUCGAUUUAAUCAGGAUGUUAGGAGUGGUAAACUAAAAUACAAAAACAUGAAAUAUGCCUGGUAUUCACUUCAAUUUUUGUUGACAGAAGCGAUACAGAUUUUGAAGAAAACACAGAAGGGAUGUAAAUUAUCUUAUCGUGGUACCAAUGUUAAGUUUAAUGAGACUGUUCUGUAUAAACAUAUUAGUUUUGGCUCAUUUGCAUCCUCCUCUCUUCUGAUUGAAGAAGCAAAGAAGUUUGGAAGUGAAUCUUGUUUUGAAAUCGAGACUUGUUAUGGUGCUGCUUUGGAAAAUUACUCCCGGUAUUCUUAUGAGAAAGAGAUACUGAUUCCCCCAUAUGAGACAUUUAAAGUGACUGAAAUCAAGAAAUCGUCCUGGUGUAAGACUGUGUUUGUGUUGAAGUACUCUGGAAUAAGAAGUUACUUAAACUGUGUAGUGGCAUCAGUCGAGUCCCUUGAAGUUCAAAAUC